rnacentral:rRNA from 1 species
UACGUAGGGUGCAAGCGUUGUCCGGAAUUAUUGGGCGUAAAGAGCUCGUAGGCGGUCUGUCGCGUCGGCUGUGAAAACUCGGGGCUCAACUCCGAGCUUGCAGUCGAUACGGGCAGGCUAGAGUUCGGCAGGGGAGACUGGAAUUCCUGGUGUAGCGGUGAAAUGCGCAGAUAUCAGGAGGAACACCGGUGGCGAAGGCGGGUCUCUGGGCCGAUACUGACGCUGAGACGCGAAAGCGUGGGGAGCGAACAGG